rnacentral:rRNA from 1 species
AUUGAACGCUGGCGGCAGGCCUAACACAUGCAAGUCGAACGAGUGGCGGACGGGUGAGUAAUGUCUGGGAAACUGCCCGAUGGAGGGGGAUAACUACUGGAAACGGGAGCUAAUACCGCAUACCAUCGGAUGUGCCCAGAUGGGAUUAGCUAGUAGGGGGGGUAACGGCCCACCUAGGCGACGAUCCCUAGCUGUGCUGAGAGGAUGACCAGCCACACUGGAAGUGGGACACGGUCCAGACUCCUACGGGAGGCAGCAGUGGUGAAUAUUGCACAAUGGGCGCAAGCCUGAUGCAGCCAUGCCGCGUGUGUGAAUAAGGCCUUCGGGUUGUAAAGUACUUUCAGCGAGGAGGCGUUACUCGCAGAAGAAGCACCGGCUAACUCCGUGCCAGCAGCCGCGGUAAUUC